GAGGUAGUGACAAUAAAUCACAAUGCGGAACAAUGUUUUGCAAUUGGAUUGAGAACAACGUACAAACCUUAUCGAUAAACAAUUGGAGGGCAAGUCUGGUGCCAGCAGCCGCGGUAAUUCCAGCUCCAAUAGCGUAUAUUAACGUUGUUGCAGUUAAAAAGCUCGUAGUUGAAAUGAAGGGUAGUUGUGUAAUGAAUACAUUCGUGUAUUUUGUUAUUCUACUACCCUCCUUCUAAAUUCGAUAUAUGAGUAUUAAUUUACUUGUAUAUGGUUUUAGACGUUUACUGUGAGAAAAUUAGAGUGUUCAAAGCAGGCAUUUGCUUGAAUAUAUUAGCAUGGAAUAAUCAUGUAUGAUUUUCAUGAUGUAUUUGAUUGGUUUGGUUCAUGAGAAUAAGAUUAAAAGGGACAGUUGGGGGUAUUCAUAUUCAAUAGUCAGAGGUGAAAUUCUCGGAUUUAUGGAAGAUGAACAAGUGCGAAAGCAUUUACCAAGGAUGUUUU
rnacentral:rRNA from 1 species